rnacentral:tRNA from 1 species
GCGGGCGUAGCUCAGUUGGCAGAGCAUCGGCCUUCCAAGCCGUUUGUCGCGGGUUCGAAUCCCGUCGCCCGCUCCA